AUAUUCAAAAAUUAUUUACUCAAAAUCAAGUCCAUCACGUUAUUGAGAUUGAACUCCAAUUAAUAAUUGAAUGAAUUAUUUUAUAUUAUUGAAUGAGCUGUCAGUAUGUGCAAUACAUCAUUUUAUAUAGUAAUUAUACAUAGUUAAAGUUCUACUCGUAGAUAGAGAGAAUCACGACAAAGAAUUGGAUAUUAAUAUUAUCUCGCUAUUGAAGAAUUGGAAGAAGUACCCCAAGUAACUUAUUACGAAAGUGUGAUUGUAGAACCAAGUGUGACAUAAGACACGGCUGCCAUGGAUCCAAUAUUUUAUCCCCCAACAAAUGGUAUUCCUUCAGAAAGUAAACUGGCAACAUACAUGGUAA